rnacentral:lncRNA from 1 species
CUGUAUUUACUAUAUUUCACUAUAUCUAAUACUGUAAGUUUAAAUUUUUUAUACCUACGUACCACGAUUUGUACACAAACACCUAAAUACAUAAUGGAGUUAGAUGAUUAUGACAAUUUAUUUAAAGUGAUUGCUGUCGCAGAAGCAUUUGGUGAAUUA